rnacentral:lncRNA from 1 species
CAUUAACCCAAGCAGUACGUUGUUAAGAGACAAGGUGGCUCAGUGUGACCAAGGCAGGAGGUGAGGCUGGCUGGUGUCUGAAGCCUAGUCCUGCUGGGGCCGGUUGAGAGCUCCUGGAGGGCAGGGCCAUGUCUUGCUCAUCAGUGCCAUCAUGUGGAGCAGGCCCUCACUUUGCGCCAGGCAAGGCUGGGUCCUGGGGACACGGGGGUGGGGGGGGCGGCACUCUGGGAAUGAGUGUUGAGUGAUUGGCUCUGCAGCAGACUCCCAGAGCUGUCCCAGAACCAUCGAGCACCAGAGUUCUUUCUGGAUGAAGUCUUCUAAAAAAUGGUUGUGAGCAUAGUCAACAUAGCAGACUGGUCAGGGCCCAACAUCAUGGGUUCAGUUCAUGGGGCCAGCAGCCCUAAGCCAACCCUGGCCCUUGCCUCCCUCUUGUCCUCCACCACCAUUCCUCUUGCAGAGCCUUACCCAGGCCCACCACACCGCUUCUCCGUUACCUCUUUCUCCCAAGCCCAGCGCCACCUCAUUCCUCCUCCGAACUGGAUUUCUGUGUCUCAGACCCAGUGCCUUUGACUACUGCGCCCCCGCCAGCACCAGAGCAGACCUGCCAAUGCUGUCCUCCACCCUCCCCUCCCUGGACGCAUGGGAUAACCACACGGUGCCCACACGUGUAGGUAGCAAAAUGGAAAGGGCCUGAGGCUCAGAGUCAGCUGGUUCUGGUGUGACCCCCAGCUCUGCCUUUUGUUAACUGUGUGGCCUUACUCAGGACACGCCAUCCCUAAGCCUCAGUUUACUGACCUGAGAAAGGGAGAGGAAACUAAUGCCUCCCUAUCUCACAGAGUUACUGUGAAGGUCAAAUAAGAUCAUGCAUUAGGGGGCAAGUAAAUAAUGCCCCUCUGGAGUUGAGAACUACUGAGAAAAGAAGACAAAGAUGAAUCGUUUUGUUUUUUUAAAAUCAGAUUUAUUGGAAGAGCUGAGGUGGAGAAUUUGGACUGAAUUUAUGGCCAAGGGUGGGGGCCCUACUUGAUCCCUCAUAGGUCCCCCCUGAAUGAGGAUGUGGAAGAGGAAGGAGUCUGUGAGUGGCACUCUGGGCCUGGGGACCUGCCCCGCUAUCUCCAGCACCACUGACCAGCCCCGAGGCAGGCGUGACUGGCAUCAGUUACUGUGAUGGGACGGGGGCCCCCGAGGAUUUGGUAGCUCAACUAAGCUCAUGCAAUGAGCAAACCACAGAGCUGGGAUCCACAGCCCGCGUUUCACUGCCAGCUUGAGAGAAACCAGGGCCCAGCUAGCAAGAGACUCUCCUGCCCCUGGAGGCAGAGGCUGGGGACAACCAGCUCAACCGAGGGGGAACGCUUCCCCUUCUCAGGCUGAUCU